UAAUACAUUAUAGAUGGCAAUUAUGAUUUAUAUCAUCACGUCAAUUUCCAAUGGAAAAACUUCCAAUCUCCAUUAAAAAAUAUUUCCAUAAAAUACAGGCUUCAGUUACAAAGUCAAGGGCUCAGAAAAGAGAUGCUAUCUUUAUACUUUAACAAACUUGGUCAAUAUUUUUCCUUAUAGUUUUAUUCACAGAAUUUGUGAAUGAGGCUAGUAUGUGAUUUUCAUCUUCUGUUAGGUCCAUUCUCAUUGUUCACUUUAAAUAUAAUGUAUUUUUUAAAAGGCAAUAGCAUUGACAUUCAAGGCCCCUGCUCUCUGGAGAAAAGAGGCACUUCUAAGUUUAGAAGGGAGAGGCCCCAAGAAAGGAUAAAAGCCUGGCUCAGUCUAUGUGAAAUGAAAAUGUUCUGUCAAUAAUAAUCAAUUUAAAAAACGGCACCACAUACUGAGGAAAAAGAGCUGACCACACUUGAAAGACUGAAAAUGCAGAAAAUUAACCAGGGAGGAAACAGAAAAAUAUUUCUCCUUCGUAAUAGUCUAGAAGACACAGUUUAUAUCCUAUUUCUCGCUUGAAAUACGAAUUCAAAAUGCAAGCAGCUCGUCAGUGAAAGCGAUACUCUCCUAUAUUGUCACAGUGGCUGCAAAUCAGAGCUCUGACUUUGGAAAAUACGAUGAGAAAAUAUAUCAGGGCUUUAAAGUUUCACCCCCAUCGAUCAGGUUGUGCUAAUUCUGAGAAGAAAUUAGAAGUAAAACUAUAAAUACUGUGUCAAAGCCUGAAUCGUGAUCCCCCCCCCCCUCAAAGAUAUCACGUCCCGAUGGCAGGAACUCGUAAUCAUUGCCUUACGUGGUAAAGAUUUUGCAGCUGUGAGCAAGGGAUCAUGAGAUCGGGGGAUCAUCUGGGAAAGUCCAGCAGGUCCCACGCCUGCUCAUAAGCGUCUUUCUGAGAGGGCGGCAGAGGGAGACACGCACCACGCACGUACGUACGUACGUACGUGCAUGCACACGCACGCACACCCGGAAGUGAUGCGGCGUCAGGACAGGGAGGGAUUUAAAGGUGUUCGCCGUGAAACCCAGUGAUGGGACAAUCCCCCGGGAAUGCUGGCUGGCAGACAGCACGAGCUGGGAGAGGGAAGAGCGUGUUUCCUCAUCUGUAAAAUGGAAAGAAAUCAGGCCAGAAUCAAUGUGAGGAUAAAAUAACAAAACAGGGCUCAUAGAUUUAAAUGCCAUAAGGUGCCAGGCUGAAAAUGAAUGAGGAACCUAGUAUGGACAAUCUGGAGUAGUGACGAUGGUAGAAACUCAAGAAGGCAAACUCAACCUAAGUGGAAGCAUACUAAAAUGCUGUCCUAACACAACUCUGCCAGAUCCUGGUCCCAGCCUGCAAGCUACUGAAACACAUGGACUCUUCUGUACCAUAAUAGACUCAAUGUGUUGCUCAACUUUACAUUAAACAUAGCUAAACAUUAGUAUGCUGAUCAACCAAUGUGUCAAUUGUCUGAAUUAGCAAAGGACUGUUGUCUCAGGUAUGUCUCUUUCCUUAGGUUCGACCACAUUAUUUGUCCCAUACUUUCAUUCUUGGUUCAUAGGACUGUCUUCCCCAAGUUGAGUGUGAGCUUCUUUAAGAGGGAAGCAAGG